rnacentral:ncRNA from 1 species
GGUCUUGAGCUCCAGCGCACAGCCCCGGCUUGCUGGACAGCAACCCUCCUCCGCGGUGGGGUGCUCCGGGUGACGACCAGGUGAGUGCCGCCCGGCACCUCGCAAGCGCGGACC